rnacentral:misc_RNA from 1 species
CUUGUUGCACAUAAUAUUUUGUUUCUAUUCUAAAAUUAUAUUACACAAGUGUUGGUUAAUGCAAGAAAAUAAUAAUCACACAAAUAUAUUAUUUCCGGAACGUCACUAAUUAGUUUUUCCUAUUCAUGAUGAAAUAUCUUCAAUAAAACACUGAAUUUGAGUCCAAUUAAAUUGCGUAUUUAAUUGAACUGCAACACUGAACAUUAUCUAUAAGUUUUGAGCGAAACUAAACAAAACUGUAUAGGUUAAGUUGAAUUGAAGUUUAGCUUUAGAAAUUUGUGAAGUUUGUCCAUGGGAUUUAUUGAUAAUGAAUUACAAGAAGUGUCCAGACUCUGUCAAAAUGUUGUCCAAGGAAGUAAAUUGGUUUCUUGUGUGCAAUCAAUGGUUCGAGCAGAAAUAAUAAAGACUGAUUUUAAGAAGAUCAUCGUCUGUAUUCAAUUUCCGAAAGAUUACCCGCAUACUCCGCUUCUUAUUGAAUUAAAAAGUAAAACUCUUUCAUCUAAAUUAUUAUCAGGACUCACGGAUGUCUGUGAGAAGAAAUGUAAACAAAUCUUGGGAAAGGCACAAAUUCUUCCAACUUUAAAAUUCAUCUCAAACUUUAUUGAAGAAAAUCCAUUAAUUUGUUGUUAUGAUGAAAUUACAACAAUAAAAAAACUUUUAGGAGAUCAAGACAGUUUAAAGCUGAAGCAGAAAUCUUCUUCAGUCAAUUUGGAAAUUCGUCAAGGUCUCUAUUUUUAUAAAACGAAAAUUAUUAUUCCAGAUGAUUAUCCUACAUCAGCAGUGAAGAUCACUGAGGUGGAAACAAAUUUUCCAAAAUUGUUUACUCGUUAUUUUCUUGGACAAGGUCAAGAAUUGGGACGCCAGUGUGUAGAGCCACCAUUAAAAAAGAAGCUCAAUCACAUAUUUUCUCCAACUCCUUCUUUAAAUACUGUGACAUCCUUUCUUAUCAGAAGUGUUAAAGCAUUACCAAAUGAAAAAUGUCAGCUUUGCAAAAAAGUUUGUUUUCCUGCUGAUCCGUCCUUCGCAAUUCUAGAUGAAAAUGCUGAUGUACAUGUUGAGAGACUCUAUUGUAGUCAUCUCUUUCAUCUACAGUGUCUCAUGACAUUUAUGAAAACACCUCCAUUUCAUGGUGGUAAAAAAUGUCCAUCAUGUGGAAAGCAAGUAUUCCAUGACAAAUGGGGUGUUAGCGAUAAGUUAGCAGAGGACCGAUGGGCACAUGAACAAGCGCGUGCUAGAGAACUUGCAGAAGUGGCAGAUUUUUUCGAGUAAAUCAGGACUAAUGUAAUACACAGUCCAAUAUUAUAAUCUUUUUUUAUUGGAAGUAUGAAAUACUAUAUUGUGGUGGAUAACAGUGAACCCACACAAAUGUAUUAAUCGACUAUAGGUUCGUAUACAUUUAUUAUUCUUUGCAUCAGAGUAUAAAAAACCAGAACAAAACUCACUCCUACGGGCUUUUUGCCAGACGGAUAUUUGUUUUACAUCGUAUUUGCAACGAGAUCCUAGAUGCAUAUAGUGGAUUAUUUGCAUUAGACAAACGUCAUAGUU